UAAAUGUUGAAACCUGCUUUCCAAAUAAGAGCAGAAUGAAAGAGAAAGUAAAACCACUGCAGGUGGAGAAGAGGAAUAGUUGAAUAUUAAUCAGGUGAUUGUGUCUCUGUGUGGCUCAUGUUUAAAGGGAGAGAAGAGGAAUAGUUGAAUAUUAAUCAGGUGAUUGUGUCUCUGCGUGGCUCAUGUUUAAAGGGGGAGAAGAGGAAUAGUUGAAUAUUAAUCAGGUGAUUGUGUCUCUGCGUGGCUCAUGUUUAAAGGGAGAGAAGAGGAAUAGUUGAAUAUUAAUCAGGUGAUUGUGUCUCUGCGUGGCUCAUGUUUAAAGGGAGAGAAGAGGAAUAGUUGAAUAUUAAUCAGGUGAUUGUGUCUCUGUGUGGCUCAUGUUUAAAGGGAGAGAAGAGGAAUAGUUGAAUAUUAAUCAGGUGAUUGUGUCUCUGUGUGGCUCAUGUUUAAAGGGAGAGAAGAGGAAUAGUUGAAUAUUAAUCAGGUGAUUGUGUCUCUGUGUGGCUCAUGUUUAAAGGGAGAGAAGAGGAAUAGUUGAAUAUUAAUCAGGUGAUUGUGUCUCUGCGUGGCUCAUGUUUAAAGGGAGAGAAGAGGAAUAGUUGAAUAUUAAUCAGGUGAUUGUGUCUCUGUGUGGCUCAUGUUUAAAGGGAGAGAAGAGGAAUAGUUGAAUAUUAAUCAGGUGAUUGUGUCUCUGUGUGGCUCAUGUUUAAAGGGAGAGAAGAGGAAUAGUUGAAUAUUAAUCAGGUGAUUGUGUCUCUGUGUGGCUCAUGUUUAAAGGGAGAGAAGAGGAAUAGUUGAAUAUUAAUCAGGUGAUUGUGUCUCUGCGUGGCUCAUGUUUAAAGGGAGAGAAGAGGAAUAGUUGAAUAUUAAUCAGGUGAUUGUGUCUCUGCGUGGCUCAUGUUUAAAGGGAGAGAAGAGGAAUAGUUGAAUAUUAAUCAGGUGAUUGUGUCUCUGUGUGGCUCAUGUUUAAAGGGAGAGAAGAGGAAUAGUUGAAUAUUAAUCAGGUGAUUGUGUCUCUGCGUGGCUCAUGUUUAAAGGGAGAGAAGAGGAAUAGUUGAAUAUUAAUCAGGUGAUUGUGUCUCUGCGUGGCUCAUGUUUAAAGGGAGAGAAGAGGAAUAGUUGAAUAUUAAUCAGGUGAUUGUGUCUCUGCGUGGCUCAUGUUUAAAGGGGGAGAAAAUAAUGGCCACCGUUGCAGUCUCCCUGCAGUGUCCAAUAAAACUAAGCUUGGCGUAUUUCACCCCGACAUGAACUGCGGAUAUUAAACCCCCCA